UACGUAGGGUGCAAGCGUUGUCCGGAUUUAUUGGGCGUAAAGAGCUCGUAGGCGGUCUGUCGCGUCGGAUGUGAAAACCCAGGGCUCAACCCUGGGCCUGCAUUCGAUACGGGCAGACUAGAGUAUGGCAGGGGAGACUGGAAUUCCUGGUGUAGCGGUGAAAUGCGCAGAUAUCAGGAGGAACACCGGUGGCGAAGGCGGAUCUCUGGGCCAUUACUGACGCUGAGGAGCGAAAGCGUGGGGAGCGAACAGG
rnacentral:rRNA from 1 species